rnacentral:rRNA from 1 species
CCUACGGGUGGCAGCAGUGAGGAAUAUUGGUCAAUGGCCGUAAGGCUGAACCAGCCAAGUCGCGUGAAGGAAGAAGGAUCUAUGGUUUGUAAACUUCUUUUAUAGGGGAAUAAAGGUAUCCACGUGUGGAUAUUUGCAUGUACCCUAUGAAUAAGCAUCGGCUAACUCCGUGCCAGCAGCCGCGGUAAUACGGAGGAUGCGAGCGUUAUCCGGAUUUAUUGGGUUUAAAGGGUGCGUAGGUUGUUUUUUAAGUCAGCGGUGAAAGUUUGUGGCUCAACCAUAAAAUUGCCGUUGAAACUGGAAGACUUGAGUGUGUUUGAGGUAGGCGGAAUGCGUGGUGUAGCGGUGAAAUGCAUAGAUAUCAUACAGAACACCGAUUGCGAAGGCAGCUUACCAAACUAUAUCUGACGUUGAGGCACGAAAGCGUGGGUAGCAAACAGGAUUAGAUACCCUUGUAGUC